rnacentral:rRNA from 1 species
ACUCCUACGGGAGGCAGCAGUGGGGAAUAUUGGACAAUGGGGGCAACCCUGAUCCAGCCAUACCGCGUGUGUGAAGAAGGCCUUCGGGUUGUAAAGCACUUUCAGUGGGGAGGAAAAGUUGCCGGCGAAUACCCGGCGACCGUGACGCUACCUGCAGAAGAAGCACCGGCAAACUCCGUGCCAGCAGCCGCGGUAAUACGGAGGGUGCAAGCGU